GAUGAAGAACGCAGCGAAAUGCGAUACUUGGUGUGAAUUGCAGAAUCCCGUGAACCAUCGAGUCUUUGAACGCGAGUUGCGCCCGAAGCCAUUAGGCCGAGGGCACGCCUGCCUGGGUGUCACACACCGUUACCCUCGCGCCAACGUCCAUCGUUGGCCGCGGCGCGGGGCGUGCGCUGACCUCCCGCGAGCGGGGUCUCGUGGUUGGUUGAAAAUCGAGUUCGCGGUCGAGGGUGCCGUGAUGAAAUGGUGGAUGGGCGACGCCCGAGGCCAAUCACGCGCGACUCCGUCCGGCUCGGACUCCUGGACCCCUUCGGCGUCUCCGGACGCUCUUUGGCGAGACCUCAGGUCAGGCGGGGCUACCCGCUGAGUUUAAGCAUAUCAAUAAGCGGAGGA
rnacentral:misc_RNA from 1 species